rnacentral:lncRNA from 1 species
AGGGUGUCGCUGCGAGAGGUCGCUCCCGAGUCGUUUUCUCGCGUCGUGAUUCGACGAAAACGCGAGCGACCUUGGAGUGUCGCUCUCGAAACCUCGCUCUGGAUCUGGAGCGACUUCGAGGUGUCGCUCUAGGACGUCGCUCCAAUCCAGUUUUUGAGCUCCGUGACGACGAAAACGCGAGCGACCUCGAGGUGUCGCUCCCGUGAUGUCGCUCCCAGCUGGAGCGACUUCAUGUGCUCGCUCUGAGAGGUCGCUCCGAGAGUGUUUUUUGGUGCACAAAAACGUCUUUAAGCCGAGCGACCUCGAGGUGUCGCUCCCGUAACGUCGCUCCCAGCUGGAACGACUUCGAGGUGUCGCUGUGAGACCUCGCUCCCACCCACGAUUUUUGUUCAAACCUGCAUCGAUCAAGCAC